UGCACCCCCACCCGAAACACAGAGAAAGCCCACCCACUCCCCAGCAUCUUGUCGAACCACCCCUCCCUGACGGCUCCGCCCCCUGCUCCCACGCACCGGCGCCGCCACCCCCUGCUCCCACGCGCCAUCGGCCGCCGCCCCCCUGCUCCCACGCGCCGCCGCCCCCUGCUCCCACGCGCCGCCUCCCUCUCCCCGACGGCCGGCCGCGUCCCUUACCCAGCAUCGGCCUCCUCCUUCCCCCACGUCAAUGAUGGUCGCCUAGUGGAUGCAGACCGUCUUCUUCCCCGCCGCCGGCCACCUCUUCCCCUUGCUCUGGACGCCUCCGUCCCUCCCUCCACUGUGCGCCUCCUGCUGGAUCCCGCCUUCGAGCGCGUUGGCCGCCCUGGCCACAACCGUGCCUCGUCCUCCCCCGCGUCUACCCCCGCCAGGGGCUUCCCAGCUCGCCGGAUCCGCUGGGUGCACGCGUUCCUCGCCGCCGUGAGUCACAAGGGAGGUUGAACGGGCUGCAGAAUGCGGGUUCGGUUGCCAUUGCGUCCAACAGUCCAACCCCAUCGCCCCAGGCCAUCCAGCGACCUGUCGGGCUAUAGUAUUCCGUUGCAAGUCGGCGAGCAACAUUAGCGACCGUACUCUCCAACUGCCCCAUGGAUAUUAUAUGAACAUUAGCAAUGCUAGUGAAGAUGGUGGGUGUGAUUCUACUUGGACUGGCGUCAACCCUCGACUUGGACGGCUGCGAGCACCCGUGGUGGACGAGCUCUUGCUCAAGGGCUGAAACUUAUUCUAAAAUCACAAAACUGACGAGAGGAUAAUGUACGCAAAUAGAGUAGUAAGUUCAGAAAAAAAAAGGUUCAGAACUAAAGAUAAAAAAAGGAAAUUUUUAGUCCAACGUACAACUUUGGAUAAUGACAACGAAAUCAUUCUUUUUUAGUCAAGCACAUACAAGUUUGAUAUUACUAAUGAAAGUUCUAUUUUUUCUAUUUUUUUGGCUGUGUAUACAUCCAAAAUGUAAGGUUUCAUAUAGCUCAGCGAAAUGGUUGUUGAACUGAAGAACAAACCAGGGGAAGGUGGAGAGAACAGGGUACCCCGUCUUGGUCAACAGAGCAAAAGAAUGGUGCAAAGUGUGAACAUGAUCUACUGCCAAGAAAAAAGCAAACAAGAGAAGCACAAACACACUGUAGCACAAUUUAUGUGUUUGCUGCUACUUUUUCCCAUUUGACAGAGGAAGAUGGAGAUGGGGCUAUAAGAUGUUGACUGCCAUUGCCCUUCCAAACAUGUCGUUGGUGUCGAACCAUUCACAGUGAGGUUCAGUCCAUAGGCUGCUCGUGAUCCUUGCUCCUUCAGCUCCACUUCGUCGAUGCCAUCAGUCCGUAGGAGUAGGGGCGGCGUGCCCGUCAACAAACAAGAACAGAAAGGGAGCAAUUGGUGCCGAAUUAUGAUGCAGAGGCUGGGGGCACGCCUCCAUUUCCAAAAAAACUGGUGCCGAAUGGGCCCCUGGGAGCUAGUCCAACCCGCUCGCAGACUGGAGGGUAUGCCGGUUUAUUUCCAACAAAACCAUAUGUACAAUUAGUGUGCUCGUUUGAUAAGAAGGAGACAACAUAGAAGUUAUGGUUGAAGCAAGUCCCUCCGUCCAGUUAUGUCCGAUUUUUGUGAUAGUAGUUCAAAAUGAGGGAUAUAUUGUAUAACUUUUCUGCACUUGUGCCCAGGUUGCUCCAAUGCUUUAUUGGCCUCAGUACUACUGUUUGGAGGAUACAAGAUUUUUUGUGAAAUCAAAUGGGAACCUCUCUCUUGUUGGCAGUAA